rnacentral:rRNA from 1 species
UACGAAGGGGGCUAGCGUUGUUCGGAAUUACUGGGCGUAAAGCGAACGUAGGCGGUGUUCCAUGUCAGAGGUGAAAGCCUGGGGCUCAACUCCAGAAUUGCCUUUGAAACGGGGACGCUUGAGUCCGAGAGAGGAUGGCGGAAUUCCUAGUGUAGAGGUGAAAUUCGUAGAUAUUAGGAAGAACACCGGUGGCGAAAGCGGCCAUCUGGCUCGGUACUGACGCUCAGGUUCGAAAGCGUGGGGAGCAAACAGG